rnacentral:lncRNA from 1 species
UCGCAAAAUCUUCGCAUCAGAUGGAAACGACGUCCAUUAAAGAGCCCAUAAAAAUAAUCCUUUUCAUUUUAAAACCAGGUGGGAAUGUUUCAUUUGUUGAACGCUCCAUCGUGCAAUGGAGACGUACUGUCACCAGUUGAAGGUAAUUCUAUCGCUAAAUGAUCUCUCAAGUGCCCUGUGAGGAAUAAACUCGGUAAUUGGAUCGCUGUAGACGACGCUCAUGCACACCGAUC